rnacentral:rRNA from 1 species
GACGAACGCUGGCGGCGUGCUUAACACAUGCAAGUCGAACGCUAAGGCCCUGCUUUUCUCGUCUGCUCGAGUUGCGAACGGGUGAGUAACACGUAGGUAACCUGCCCUUUACUUUGGGAUAACUUCAGGAAACUGUAGCUAAUACCGGAUAGGAGCUCCUGCUGCAUGGUGUUUGUUUAAAAGUUUCGGCGGUUCGGGUUGGACUCGCGGCUUCUCAGCUUUUGGGUGGGGUAGUGGAGUACAAAGGCCAUGGCGAGUAGCCGGACUGAGAGGGUGACCGGCCACAGAGGGACAGAGGAAGGGGCAGGACGGCAACGGGAGGAAGGGGUGGGAAAUAGAGCAAAAAGGGCGGAAGGAGGAUGGAGCAACGCCGCGUGGGGGAGGACGGCUGUAAGAGUGGAAAGCGCGUUAGAGUGGGAAGAAGAGUGAGUGACGGUAAUGGGUAAAGAAGCAACGGCUAACUACGUG